CUCUUCAAUUAACCUGACAUUUCACAAAUCCAAAAUUGCCGUGGAUGAACUCUUUACUUCACUUUGGGAUAUUGCUGGAGCUCGCAAUCUCAUGAAACAGUUUAAGUCUGUAUAUGUUCCUGGAAAUCAUACCCACCAGGCAUCUUAUAAACCAUUGUUGAAGCAGAUUGUGGAGGAAAUAUUUAAUCCCGAGAGGCCAGAUCCUGUUGAUAUUGAACACAUGUCUUCAGGCCUUGCUGAUCUCCUUAAAACUGGAUUUAGCAUGUUCAUGAAGGUGAGCCGGCCUCAUCCCAG